UACAGAGGCCCCAAGCGUUACUGAGAAUCACUGGGUUUAAAGGGUGCGUAGGUGGCGCGUUAAGUCCGUUGUGAAAUCCCUGGGCUCAACCCAGGAAUUGCUUCGGAUACUGGCGUGCUUGAGGCCGGUAGGGGUCACUGGAACUGACGGUGGAGCGGUGAAAUGCGUAGAUAUUGGGAAGAACACCGGUGGCGAAGGCGGCUAUCUGGACCGUAACUGACGCGUGAGGCGCGAAAGCGUGGG
rnacentral:rRNA from 1 species